GCAAGAACAGUGAAGAGGAGCAGUAAGAAGCCCCAUCUGUCACAGAGAGUUGACGGCUGGUGAAAGUCAAUCAGGUUGGGCUUCCGAACUCGCCUCAGAGUUGCAGCAGUGAUGAGCUGCUGCCGUGCAUCUGCGUUAAAGAUAUCAAGUGAGUGUAUGAAUGUACACUAACAAGGGUGGUACCGCGGGAAGUCGAAUCUCUCGUCCCUUUU
rnacentral:ncRNA from 1 species